rnacentral:tRNA from 1 species
UCCUCGGUGGUUCAGUGGCUAAGAUUCCGUGUUCCCAAUACAGAGGACCCAGGUUCAAUCCCUGGUCAGGGAA